rnacentral:rRNA from 1 species
CCUGAGAAACCCAAAAGAUCGAAUGGGGAGAUUCAUCGUCAGCUCAUUAUGUAUAUAUUAAAGUUACGAUGCGGGUUACUACUUGUAGUAUUGCCUGCACGUUCUUUUAUAUUUAGUUGCAAAAUGUUGUCGGCGUGCACUUCUUCCCUAGUAGGACGUCGCGACCCGUUGUGUGUCGGUUUACGGCCCAAGUGAUAGUCUUUAAUGUAAUUUAAAAAUCAUUGAAGAUCCUUGGUGUUUUCUAACCGGCUACACGGCGGUACUCGUACGGUAUUUAGCCGCUAAUUUUUAUUAGCGUCCAUGUCCGUCACAAGCAAGAUCAAUUUACUAAUAGUACGGACCUAGUGCCGUCGUUGGUAUUGUUCAGCUGUUGGUUGUACGUGAUUCUGGGACUGGCUAAAAAUUUUUAAUUACCGGUCGGCGAUGCUACUGCUUUGGGUACUUUCAGG